UACAGAGGUCUCAAGCGUUGUUCGGAUUCAUUGGGCGUAAAGGGUGCGUAGGUGGCGGGGCAAGUCUGGUGUGAAAUCCUGGGGCUCAACCCCGGAACUGCACUGGAUACUGCUUUGCUAGAGUACUGGAGAGGGAACUGGAAUUUACGGUGUAGCAGUGAAAUGCGUAGAUAUCGUAAGGAAGACCAGUGGCGAAGGCGAGUUCCUGGACAGUUACUGACACUGAGGCGCGAAAGCGUGGGGAGCAACAGG
rnacentral:rRNA from 1 species